rnacentral:rRNA from 1 species
UUGAACGCUGGCGGUAUGCUUAACACAUGCAAGUCGAACGGUAGCAGCAGAGCUUGCUCUGGCUGACGAGUGGCGGACGGGUGCGUAACGCGUGGGAAUUUACCUUGUAGUGGGGGAUAGCCCGGAGAAAUCCGGAUUAAUACCGCAUAAUCUCUACGGAGCAAAGUGGGGGAUCUUCGGACCUCACGCUAUUAGAUGAGCCCGCGUUAGAUUAGCUUGUUGGUGAGGUAAUGGCUCACCAAGGCAACGAUCUAUAGCUGGUUUGAGAGGAUGAUCAGCCACACUGGGACUGAGACACGGCCCAGACUCCUACGGGAGGCAGCAGUGGGGAAUAUUGGACAAUGGGCGCAAGCCUGAUCCAGCAAUACCGCGUGUGUGAAGAAGGCCUGAGGGUUGUAAAGCACUUUCAAUAGAGACGAAAAGCUUAGGGUUAAUAACCCUGAGUCUUGACUUAACCUAUAGAAGAAGCACCGGCUAACUCCGUG